GACAGGAGCUUGCUCCUGGAUUCAGCGGCGGACGGGUGAGUAAUGCCUAGGAAUCUGCCUGGUAGUGGGGGACAACGUUUCGAAAGGAACGCUAAUACCGCAUACGUCCUACGGGAGAAAGCAGGGGACCUUCGGGCCUUGCGCUAUCAGAUGAGCCUAGGUCGGAUUAGCUAGUUGGUGAGGUAAUGGCUCACCAAGGCGACGAUCCGUAACUGGUCUGAGAGGAUGAUCAGUCACACUGGAACUGAGACACGGUCCAGACUCCUACGGGAGGCAGCAGUGGGGAAUAUUGGACAAUGGGCGAAAGCCUGAUCCAGCCAUGCCGCGUGUGUGAAGAAGGUCUUCGGAUUGUAAAGCACUUUAAGUUGGGAGGAAGGGCAUUAACCUAAUACGUUAGUGUUUUGACGUUACCGACAGAAUAAGCACCGGCUAACUCUGUGCCAGCAGCCGCGGUAAUACAGAGGGUGCAAGCGUUAAUCGGAAUUACUGGGCGUAAAGCGCGCGUAGGUGGUUUGUUAAGUUGGAUGUGAAAG
rnacentral:rRNA from 2 species